ACGAACGCUGGCGGCGUGCUUAACCCCUGCAAGUCGAACGGAAAGGCCCUGCUUUUGCGGGGUGCUCGAGUGGCGAACGGGUGAGUAACACGUGAGUAACCUGCCCUUGACUUUGGGAUAACUUCAGGAAACUGGGGCUAAUACCGGAUAGGAGCUCCUGCUGCAUGGUGGGGGUUGGAAAGUUUCGGCGGUUGGGGAUGGACUCGCGGCUUAUCAGCUUGUUGGUGGGGUAGUGGCUUACCAAGGCUUUGACGGGUAGCCGGCCUGAGAGGGUGACCGGCCACAUUGGGACUGAGAUACGGCCCAGACUCCUACGGGAGGCGGCAGUGGGGAAUAUUGCACAAUGGGCGGAAGCCUGAUGCAGCAACGCCGCGUGCGGGAUGACGGCCUUCGGGUUGUAAACCGCUUUCGCCUGUGACGAAGCGUGAGUGACGGUAAUGGGUAAAGAAGCACCGGCUAACUACGUG
rnacentral:rRNA from 1 species